rnacentral:rRNA from 1 species
UACGAAGGGGGCUAGCGUUGCUCGGAAUCACUGGGCGUAAAGGGUGCGUAGGCGGGUCUUUUAAGUCAGAGGUGAAAUCCUGGAGCUCAACUCCAGAACUGCCUUUGAUACUGAGGAUCUUGAGUUCGGGAGAGGUGAGUGGAACUGCGAGUGUAGAGGUGAAAUUCGUAGAUAUUCGCAAGAACACCAGUGGCGAAGGCGGCUCACUGGCCCGAUACUGACGCUGAGGCGCGAAAGCGUGGGGAGCAAACAGGG